rnacentral:lncRNA from 1 species
CCAGAGAGCGAAAGGGUCCCAGCGUCGCGACACGCGCGCGGACGCGGCUGUCAAGACAGGGCUCCCUCCCGAUGACUCGCCCGCCCCAGCAUCCAACUGGCUUCUUGGGGCGCGGGGCCCCGGAGCCCGAUGCACUCACACGUUGAGGACGUUGCGCUUGUUGCUGAGGUAGCUCUCGGGCAGCGGGGACAGCUCCUUGACGACCGAGCCCGUCAGCAUGGCGGCCACCAGCGCCCAGGGCAGGUGGCGCCGCACCGACGCCCUCACCAGCGUCCCGCGGAGAAACCACGCACAGCGCUCCAGGUGCUCCAUGCCGGUCCUUCUCGGCCACCGUCCACCUCCCGGAGCCUUCUCGGCCACCGUCUUGCCCUUCGCCCGAGCUGGUACCACCACAUCCCCUCUGGGCGCAUGCGCGCUGCCCGCAAGCUCCGCCCCCUAGGGCGUGUCUCCCUCUAGUGGCCACGAUGGGUCUCUGCAGAGCGCUGGUCUGCAUUUACCUGCGCUGCUUCCACUCAUCGCCCCCAAGCUGCAGGCUGAGGUCACUGCAGGCUGCACUUUGCCUGGGCAACCUGCUCCCCUCGUGUUUGUGGGAUGGGGAUUCUCGCUUUCUUUAUCUGCGGAACAAACAAGAGACCCACCUUUCUUAAGAGCUAGUUUGGGAGUUCCGUAUAUUUGGUCAGAUAUAGGGUUUUUCAGAUGAGAUCUCUUUGCAAAGUCAUUACUAAAUUUAAAUCUCAUUUA